AAGACACUAGUAAAAUGAUUAUUACACCGCCUUGUCAAGGCGGAAAUGCGGGUUUGACCCCCGCGUGUUUUA
rnacentral:tRNA from 1 species